rnacentral:lncRNA from 1 species
ACAUCUCCAAGAACCUGACCCACUAACCGAUCAGCACGAGUUAAAGUAGGGUCCAUGGUUGUGCCAACACCAAUAAGACCUCCAGGCACAGCAAACUGUAGCUCAUUCUGUUCAGCAUACAGCGAAACUAUUCUCGUGUAUAUUGGUGUGCACUUGAUAUUCCCAGUCUCAUCUUUAACAACAAUCCCAGGACGUACUUCAAUAAAUUGAUUCACCUUCAAAACACCCUGCAUUUAACAGAUUUUUAAUGUAAGCACGCAGAACCAAUGUACAGUAGGGUUCAAGUCAUGCUAAGAGAAGACAGCAUGGUGCACAUAACAGGUCAGCAAGGCUAGAUCACAUGCUUCCUAAAAUGGCAUACUUGGAAGCUAGAUCGUGCAUUGACCAGAAACAUUUUUGUGAUUACAUUUGUCAAACAGUCUCUACAAGAAGACACUAAAUGUAAGGAGACAAAUCCAGUCUUUAAUAUUUAAGUCAAAUCACAUCACACAUGUAGUCUUUAAUAUACAAGUCAAUGUUAGUUCCAAAGGCCAACAUCUAUAUUUACUUUAGGACAGCAUGUUCAGAAAGUCUGUCAGGCUAUGUUGUUCUGAGUUGAAAUGACAAUUCAAACUACGUUUAGAAGCUAGGCGAAAUCUGGAGCACGAAUAUAUACUUUGUUGUCAAGUUUUAUUUCAUUUUUUGUUCAGCUCGAGAAUUCCCAUCUAUUCCGAUAAACAUGGGAUUGUAGUUGGCAAUAUACCUUCUUUGUGGUGUGCGGUUUUUGUAUUGCAGUUAUUUUCUUACUCUCAGUUUCUUGUAUUUAAGAGAAUUUUACGAAGGAUUGAGUCUUAAACUCAGAGAUCAUAGAGUUUUGAGAAUGCCCACUUACUUUCAUUCAUUGAAAAUCUCAGAGAUCAUAGAGUAUUGUAGAAUGCCCACUUACUUUCAUUCAUUCAAAAUAGGUAAUGGAAAGAAAAAACCUUAACUAUAAUCUAAAUGUUAAUCAAUUCUUUGCUAUUCAACUAAACGGGCCCAUAACUAGAUCACAAACAUGGGACCAUGACAUAUGCUAUAUGCUUUUGAAAUGCAAUAAAUAAGUUCUACAUAUAUUUCUCUCCCAACUACUCCAAAAUUUUCUUAGCAUUAGAUCACUUCGCAGUCUGUUCAACGGUGAACGCUUCCAUACUUGUUCAGAUCUUACUCAUGGAGAAAGAAAUUCACCUCUACAGAUCGUUCUGAAACCAAAUGACAUCACUAAACAAGUAAAUAAUUUAAGGCCCUGUUCGGCAAGCAAUAGCUUUUUAUGUAGCUUUUCAAAACAUUCUCUCUAUAUUAUAGUGUUCGGUGAUGUAAAAUUUAUAUUAGCAUUUAGAGUUUGAGCAGAUUAUGAAACGCCAGUUAAAUAGCCAAUAUGACAGCUAACAACUACUAAAACAACUAAUUUUGCGAAACAGACCCUAAAAAGACAGCAUCACCUUCUAAAAACACCUUGACCAGCUCACCCUAUUACUCAAAUUAGACCAAAAGUUGAAUAAUGAAAUUUUAUAUUGUUAAUCAAUAAGAAUAAAUUUUUCGCUAGUUAAAGCUUCUAACAGAUUCUCAUAACAUCACAAGAUUCCAAGAAAGUAAUGGCAACUGCGCAAACUGAAGAGACCAUCAGGAAGCGGCAAGAUAUUUCUACUGCAGUAGCUAGAAAUCAAAGAUGCUUGCUGAAAGUUUGACAAACUUGAUGAUGGAAACAACAAUGAAAUGCAUAGAUCAAGAACAUUAGAGAAGGCAGUGUUGUCAAAUGCGCUAGGUGCUCUUCAGGCAAGAAGGUCCACCAUCAGCCGAGGUUCUAGGCACCAUCUAGGCACUUGCCCAAGUCAAGUAAGGAAUUCUAGAUAAUUUAGAAUUUAGAAUUCUGACAAUUGGUCUUAGAAUUCUCGACACAUUCUUGAAGAACCAAACUGCCAUUCAAACUUAAAAUACUUCAUAAGGUUUCUCACCACCAGUCGUCAUCUUCGUCAACAUCCACUGAAUCAUGUGACAGUUUUGUAUUUGUACUUAUUUUUUAAUUGUUAGAUCUAAUUUAAUCUAAUAUUUGUAUGGCAGUCCAACUUCCCAGUCUCCAGCCACUUUCUUUUUUUUCCAUAUUUGUCAUUUUUAAUUGGUAGAUUUUGACCUAACUUUUAAUGGCUGUCCAGCUUUCCAAUUUCCAGCCACCUUCCUUUUCUCCCCCAUAUUUGUCCUUAAUUUUAAUGGUUAGACUUUAACCUAAUUUCUAAAUGGCUGCCCAACUUUCCAAUUUCCAGCAACUCUCUUUUUCUUCCAUAUUUGUACAACUUUUUAAUUGUUAGGUAUUGAUCUAACUUUUAAUACUGUCUGACUUUGCGUUUUCCAGCCACUAAAGUUAAAAAAAUAAAAAUAAAAAUUAAAAAUUAAAAAAUUAAAAAAAAAUUGUGCUUAUUGUUAACCCAACUUUUUAGUAGCUGUCCAGGGGAAAAAGCAAAAAAUGUGUGAGGUUCUCGCUUCAUCUUGCUGCUCCCUUGGUGCCUAGGCAGCACCUAGUUGGAGGAGCGUCGCAUAGAGGUUUCCCAUGCACCUACUCCUCGCUGUGGCACCUAGGUGAGGGCCUGGUGAUAAUAAUGAGAGAAGGAAGCAAAGAAAUUUAAAGAAGUUGCAAUUGACAGCAAUGCCACUAUUGAUCUCCUGCUCUAACUUAAAUUACUUAACAGAGAUAUUCAAAAUAUUGAUCGUCCAGCUCUUGGCAUCCUGUUCAUUCCCAAUACCCAUUGUUGUUACUUCACUCAAAAAUCAAUCAAGAAUCAGGCUCUUCUCCAAAAAUUGGGUCUGGGCACGUAUCUACUUAUUUGUUUGAGGUCACCCUUCCUCAAACAAUGAAAAUAAAAUAGUAUCAUUCCACUAUACUAUGGAUGACAUAAAACAAAAUUAUAUUGCUAUACUAAAGCUCUUUAUAAAGCUUAAAGAGUUGAAGCAUAUAGUUCAAGAGUCUGCCUCUACACAUGACUUCAAAGAAUUACCAAAGAAAAAUUAUCUGCAGAAAAAAUUCCAAUCAUUCGCCAAAGAACACCACCACCCCCCCCCCCCCCCCCCCCUCUCCCUCUUUUAUUUAUAUGUGCAACAGUUCCUAUAAUCAUAAAAAGCUUCAAAAUUUAUCCCUCUCCAUAUAGUCCAGAAAAUAAGGAAGCAUCCUGCAACUUGAACCUAAUAUUACAGUUAGGGUCCCUAUGAUUCCAUUGCUACAUUUUAACAUUGGCUCAAUCAAUUUCAAUAGCACGAUACACCAAUAGUUCAAACACAAUAAGAAUGAUGAAGUAGAUAGUUUGCCUCUUGCAAGGAAACACCUAUUAACCAAGCAAAUAUCACCAUUUCAUAAGAUCAUCUAAGGUUAAAUUUUGAAAACUUACUGCCCCUCCGCCCGCCAAGAAUAUAAAUAAAUAAUUCAUGGGGAAUUCGACGGAAUUUAGCUAUUACCCAACUUAGUGAGAAAAGAUAAUACAAAUAAAACAUAGACCUUGCAUUUGAAUGGAGAUAUAUGAACUUGUAACAUUUGAAAAUACAAAGGGUUUCUCUAAUUGAUUAGAUUUACAAAUCUGAGUUACAUUAUGAAUAAGAAAAACCGCAUUGAAUGUGGAAUUAAACCGCUGAAAAAAAAAUGAUUUGAUUUCCACUUCAAAUCAUUUAUCAACCGCAUUUUUAUGAACCCAAAUCUUUAUUAAUGAAUUUCCCUACUUUACCACUUGUCACCCUCAUCACUAUUUUAAGACAAAAAAUAAAUGAAAGUGAUGGCCUCAAAGAUGGCUUUUAAUAGGAUUCAGCACCAAGAACCAAACUAAUAUUAUCGGGUCUGUUGAAUAAAUUCAAACACUUAAACUCCACCAGGAAACUCAACCCCCAUCCCCGCCUCCCUAAAAUAAAUAAAUAAAUAAAAAGUAAUAUAAAAACACACAGACACAGAGAUUUUGCUAAAAUUAGGGGUGAACAUUCGGUUUGGUCAAUUUGAUUAAUUCGAUUAAUUUAGUUAAUUCGGCUAAUUCAGUUCGGUGAAUAAAUGUUCGAUUAAAAGUUUAGUUAAAUAAAAUUAAAAUUUCGGUGAUCUAUUAAAACUUAAUUUAACCAAAUUAAUCAAAUUAACUGACCCUCAAAACUACAUUGUUUUGAUUAAGUAGAUAAUAAAAUUAAAAAUUAAAAAUAUUUCAAUUUUUUAUUUGGAUUAAAUAGUGAUUAAUAACUUCAGUUAAUUUUUAUUUCGAUUAAAGUCAGUUAGUCAUAAAUUUCAGUUAAAUUCGGUCGGCUAAUUAAGUUUUCAUUUUCUUUAACUUCGGUUCGGUUAAUGAUCAAAAUUAAUUCAGUCAAAACAGUUCGGUUAAGUUCGGUUAAAAAAUUAAUUCGGUUAAAAUCAGUUAAGUCAAAAAUUUCAGUUAAUUUAUUUCGGUUAAAAAUUUUACUCAAACCGACCGAAUUGGCCAAAUGCUCACCCCUAGUUAAAAUGCUUUGCUCGUCGAGAAAAACCAACUGAAAUAUGAAAUAAUGCGAUGAACACAUUUUUGUCCCUCCUAUGACAAAAUAAACCAGUACAAGCAACAUGCAAUUUGAAAAGAAAUUAAGAAAUAAGGAAGAUACAAAUGAAGAGGAAGAAGACAAGGAAGAGAACAAAUAUAAAGCAACAUUGUCUAAAACAUACCCUUAGGAUGCUUCCCCCAGCCACACCACCUUUUAUCUCAUCAACCUCAAAUCCAGGCUUAUUGACGUCAAAAGAGCGAAUGACAAUCAUAUUAGGUGGUGAGAUGAAGUUCCUCUCUGGAAUGGGAAUCUUUUUCACAAUGU